AUUGAACGCUAGCGGGAUGCUUUACACAUGCAAGUCGAACGGCAGCGCGGACUUCGGUCUGGCGGCGAGUGGCGAACGGGUGAGUAAUGUAUCGGAACGUGCCCAGUAGCGGGGGAUAACUACGCGAAAGCGUAGCUAAUACCGCAUACGCCCUACGGGGGGAAAGCAGGGGGUCGUAAGACCUUGCACUAUUUGAGCGGCCGAUAUCGGAUUAGCUAGUUGGUGAGGUAACGGCUCACCAAGGCGACGAUCCGUAGUUGGUGUGAGAGGACGACCGGCCACACUGGGACUGAGACACGGCCCAGACUCCUACGGGAGGCAGCAGUGGGGAAUUUUGGACAAUGGGGGCAACCCUGAUCCAGCCAUCCCGCGUGUGCGAUGAAGGCCUUCGGGUUGUAAAGCACUUUUGGCAGGAAAGAAACGUCGCGGGCUAAUACCCCGUGGAACUGACGGUACCUGCAGAAUAAGCACCGGCUAACUACGUG
rnacentral:rRNA from 1 species